rnacentral:SRP_RNA from 1 species
GGUGGGGAGCUAGCGGUGCCCUGCACCUGCAAUCCGCUCUAGCAGGACCGAUGCUCGCCUUCGGCCCGCAUGGUCCGGGAUGUCCCGAACACGGAGCGCCUGAGGAUCGGGUCCCGCGCGACGUCAACCUGUGAACCCCGUCAGGUCCGGAAGGAAGCAGCGGUAAACGGGUCUUGGCGGGUGCCGCGGGAAUCACCUGGUCUGAGCCACCGGUUCGGGCAACGCCCGAGUCGUGCGUUCGUCAACGG